rnacentral:misc_RNA from 1 species
GAAAUGCGAUAAGUAAUGUGAAUUGCAGAAUUCAGUGAAUCAUCGAAUCUUUGAACGCACCUUACGCUCCUUGGUAUUCCUUGGAGCAUGCCUGUUUGAGUAUCAUGAAAUCUUCAAAGUAAAUCUUUUGUUAACUCAAUUGGUUUCUACUUUGGUAUUGGAGGUCUUUGCAGCUUCACACCUGCUCCUCUUUGUUCAUUAGCUGGAUCUCAGUGUUAUGCUUGGUUCCACUCGGCGUGAUAAGUUAUCUAUCGCUGAGGACACUGUAAAAGGUGGCCAAGGUAAAUGCAGAUGAACCGCUUCUAAUAGUCCAUUGACUUGGACAAUACUUUUAUGAUCUGAUCUCAAAUCAGGUAGGACUACCCGCUGAACUUAAGC